rnacentral:rRNA from 1 species
UGGUGGAGUGAUUUGUCUGGUUAAUUCCGUUAACGAACGAGACCUCGACCUGCUAAAUAGUUCGACGAAUUCUUCGGGAUUCGUACGUGACUUCUAGAGGGACUAUCGGUGGUUAGCCGAUGGAAGUUCGAGGCAAUAACA